AGAGUUUGAUCCUGGCUCAGGACAAACGCUGGCGGCGUGCCUAACACAUGCAAGUCGAACGCCCUUAUGAAAGUAAGGGAGUGGCGGACGGGUGAGUAACACGUGGCUACCUACCCCUCAGUGAGGAAUACCGUCGAGAAAUCGGCGACAAGACCGCAUACGCUCUGAAAAGAGGAAAGCUGCAAAGCGCUGAGGGAGGG
rnacentral:rRNA from 1 species